rnacentral:rRNA from 1 species
UCAGAUUGAACGCUGGCGGCAUGCCUUACACAUGCAAGUCGAACGGCAGCGGACCUUCGGGUGCCGGCGAGUGGCGAACGGGUGAGUAAUAUAUCGGAACGUACCUUUCAGUGGGGAUAACGUAGCGAAAGUUACGCUAAUACCGCAUAUUCUGUGAGCAGGAAAGCAGGGGAUCGCAAGACCUUGCGCUGAUUGAGCGGCCGAUAUCAGAUUAGCUAGUUGGUGAGGUAAAGGCUCACCAAGGCGACGAUCUGUAGCGGGUCUGAGAGGAUGAUCCGCCACACUGGAACUGAGACACGGUCCAGACUCCUACGGGAGGCAGCAGUGGGGAAUUUUGGACAAUGGGCGCAAGCCUGAUCCAGCCAUGCCGCGUGAGUGAAGAAGGCCUUCGGGUUGUAAAGCUCUUUCGGCCGGGAAGAAAUCGCACAGGUUAAUACCCUGUGUGGAUGACGGUACCGGAAUAAGAAGCACCGGCUAACUACGUG